GGCAUGAGCCACUGCACCUGGCCAGACUGGGUAAUUUAUAAAGGAAAGAGAUUUAAUUGGCUUACAGUUCUACAGGUUAUACAUGAAGCAUGGCGCCAGCAUCUACUUGGCUUCUGGGGACGCCUCAGGGAACUUGUAAUCAUGGUGGAAG